AUUGAACGCUGGCGGCAUGCCUUACACAUGCAAGUCGAACGGUAACGCGGGGCAACCUGGCGACGAGUGGCGAACGGGUGAGUAAAGUAUCGGAACGUGCCCAAUAGUGGGGGAGUAGCCCGGCCGAAAGACCGGAUUAAUACCGCACGAGACCUGAGGGUGGAAAGCGGGGGACGUCGCAAGAGCCUCGCGCUGUUGGAGCGGCCGAUAUCAGAUUAGGUAGUUGGUGGGGUAAAGGCCUACCAAGCCGACGAUCUGUAGCUGGUCUGAGAGGACGACCAGCCACACUGGGACUGAGACACGGCCCAGACUCCUACGGGAGGCAGCAGUGGGGGAAUUUUGGACAAUGGGCGGCAAGCCUGAUCCAGCCAUGCCGCGUGCGGGAAGAAGGCCUCGGUGUAACG
rnacentral:rRNA from 1 species